GACGAACGCUGGCGGCGUGCUUAACACAUGCAAGUCGAACGGGCCUUGUCCCCUUUUUUUUUGGGGGUGGGGUUAGUGGCGGACGGGUGAGUAACACGUGAGUAACCUGCCCCUCACUUUUGGAUAACCGCUUGAAAGGGUGGCUAAUACGGGGUGUUCUGGCCUGCUCGCAUGGGUGGGUUUGGAAAGAUUCGACCGGUUUUGGUUGUUUUGGUGGGGGAUGGGCUCGCGGCCUAUCAGCUUGUUGGUGGGGUGAUGGCCUGCCAAGGCUUUGACGGGUAGCCGGCCUGAGAGGGUGGGCGGUCACACUGGGACUGAGACACGGCCCAGACUCCUACGGGAGGCAGCAGUGGGGAAUAUUGCACAAUGGGCGCAAGCCUGAUGCAGCGACGCCGCGUGAGGGAUGGAGGCCUUCGGGUUGUGAACCUCUUUCGCCAGUGAAGAAGGUCCUGCUCUUUGUGGUGGGGUUGACGGUAGCUGGGUUAAUGAAGCGCCGGCUAACUACGUG
rnacentral:rRNA from 1 species